rnacentral:rRNA from 1 species
UACGUAGGGGGCAAGCGUUGUCCGGAUUUAUUGGGCGUAAAGAGCGUGUAGGCGGCCAUGUAGGUCCGUUGUGAAAACUCGAGGCUCAACCUCGAGACGCCGAUGGAAACCAUGUGGCUAGAGUCCGGAAGAGGAGAGUGGAAUUCCUAGUGUAGCGGUGAAAUGCGCAGAUAUCAGGAAGAACACCCGUGGCUAAGGCGGCUCUCUAGUACGGUACUGACGCUGAGACGCGAAAGCGUGGGGAGCGAACAGG